GAAAUAAGAUUUUUUACUCAAAUUUAAGCUUCUAACUUAAAAUUUUUAUGGAUAAAUCCAUUUUUAUUUCU
rnacentral:tRNA from 1 species